GACGAACGUUGGCGGCGUGCUUAAUACAUGCAAGUCCACUGAAGCAGUGGUAGCAAUAUCGCUGUGGAGGUGGCGCACGGGUGAGUAACACGUAGGUAAUCUGCCUUCAGGUCUGGCAUAACUCCGGGAAACCGGGGCUAAUAGCAGAUGAUGCAGCGGCUCGACAUCGAGACAGUUGUUAAAGCUAUGGCGCCUGAAGAUGAGCCUGCGCCUGAUUAGCUAGUUGGCGGGGUAACGGCCCACCAAGGCAACGAUCAGUAGCUGGUCUGAGAGGAUGAUCAGCCACACUGGAACUGAGACACGGUCCAGACUCCUACGGGAGGCAGCAGUAAGGAAUAUUGCUCAAUGGGAGAAAUCCUGAAGCAGCAACGCCGCGUGAGGGACGAAGGGCUUUUGCUUGUAAACCUCUGUAGUGAGAGAAAAAAAUCCCAAUCUUUGGGACAUGAUGGUAUCUCAAAAGUAAGCCCCGGCUAACUACGUG
rnacentral:rRNA from 1 species